AGUGGAUGGGGAGCAACCUAGUUGUGCGUGUGUAAAGGUAGUGCCAAGAAAAGCGAUGAUCAUGUUGAAAAUCAAUUCCCGGUACCCGAAACCGACACAGGUGGGCAAGUAGAGAAUACUAAGGGGCGCGAGGUAACUCUCUCCAAGGAACUCGGCAAAAUGACCCCGUAACUUAGGGAGAAGGGGUGCCACCGAGAGGUGGUCGCAGUGAAGAGGCCCAGGCGACUGUUUAGCAAAAACAUAGGUCUCUGCAAACGCGAAAGAGGAGGUAUAGGGGCUGACGCCUGCCCAGUGCCGGAAGGUUAAAGAAGUUGGUCAGUCUUAGGAUGAAGCUAGCGACUGAAGCCCCGGUGAACGGCGGCCGUAACUAUAACGGUCCUAAGGUAGCGAAAUUCCUUGUCGGGUAAGUUCCGACCCGCACGAAAGGCGUAACGAUCUGGGCGCUGUCUCGGAGAGAGGCUCGGCGAAAUAGGAUUGUCUGUGAAGAUACGGACUACCUGCAUUUGGACAGAAAGACCCUAUGAAGCUUUACUAUAGCUUGGAAUUGUGUUCGGGCUUCCUGUGCGCAGGAUAGGUGGGAGGUGUAGAAGGUAUUCUUGUGGGGAUACUGGAGCCAACGGUGAGAUACCACUCUCAGGAGGCUAGAAUUCUAACUUAAUUAAGGACAGUUUCAGGUGGGUAGUUUGACUGGGGCGGUCGCCUCCAAAAAGGUAACGGAGGCGUACAAAGGUUCCCUCAGACUGGUUGGAAAUCAGUCGAAGAGUGCAAAGGCAGAAGGGAGCUUGACUGCGAGAAGUACAGUUCGAGCAGGGUGGAAACACGGUCUUAGUGAUCCGACGGUGCUGUGUGGAAGGGCCGUCGUUCAACGGAUAAAAGUUACUCUAGGAUAACAGGCUGAUCUCCCCCAAGAGUUCACAUCGACGGGGAGGUUUGGCACCUCGAUGUCGGCUCAUCGCAACCUGGGGCGGAAGUACGUCCCAAGGGUUGGGCUGUUCGCCCAUUAAAGCGGUACGUGAGCUGGGUUCAGAACGUCGUGAGACAGUUCGGUCCAUAUCCGAUGUAGGCGUGAGAAUAUUGAGAGGAGCCUUCCUUAGUACGAGAGGACCGGGAAGGACGCACCGCUGGUGUACCUGUUAUGAUGCCAAUUGUAAACGCAGGGUAGCCAAGUGCGGAGAGGAUAACCGCUGAAAGCAUCUAAGUGGGAAGCCCACCUCAAGAUGAGUAUUCUGGUGUAAGGUCACGGGAAGACGACCCGUAAAUAGGCACGAGGUGGAAGUGCAGAGAUGUAUGAAGCCGAAGUGUACUAAUAGACCGUCGGCUUGACC
rnacentral:rRNA from 1 species